UCCGUAGGUGAACCUGCGGAGGGAUCAUUACCGAGUUAUACAACUCAUCAACCCUGUGAACAUACCUAAAACGUUGCUUCGGCGGGAACAGACGGCCCCGUAACACGGGCCGCCCCCGCCAGAGGACCCCCUAACUCUGUUUCUAUUAUGUUUCUUCUGAGUAAAACAAGCAAAUAAAUUAAAACUUUCAACAACGGAUCUCUUGGCUCUGGCAUCGAUGAAGAACGCAGCGAAAUGCGAUAAGUAAUGUGAAUUGCAGAAUUCAGUGAAUCAUCGAAUCUUUGAACGCACAUUGCGCCCGCCAGUAUUCUGGCGGGCAUGCCUGUUCGAGCGUCAUUACAACCCUCAGGCCCCCGGGCCUGGCGUUGGGGAUCGGCGAGGCGCCCCCUGCGGGCACACGCCGUCCCCCAAAUACAGUGGCGGUCCCGCCGCAGCUUCCAUUGCGUAGUAGCUAACACCUCGCAACUGGAGAGCGGCGCGGCCACGCCGUAAAACACCCAACUUCUGAAUGUUGACCUCGAAUCAGGUAGGAA
rnacentral:rRNA from 1 species